AGGACCAGGCCCUUCUUGUGGAGGGAACCACUGGGAGAAGUAAAAGGGCGAUGAUCAAGGCCAUGCCUGUGGCUUGUGUGGGGCUGGAGGAGAGUCAGGCCAGCAGUGAAGGGGCACCAUGUUGGCGUGAGGCGAUACGUUAUCAUGGGGAGCUCCAGAGCUGAUCCCACACUUAAAAAUAGAUUGACAUUUAUCCAGGAGGGCAGCUGAAAUCUAACAUCUGGUGUAACUGUACAAACCUGACCUUAGGUCACGGCUCAGACACAACUCCUGGGGACAGAGCUGACUGGGCUUGCUGGACUCACCGGUGGUGAAGGGGGACGUUCUCCUUCUUAAUCCAUACUCAAGGCGGUCAUGCAGGCAUUGUGUUCUCUCUAGGUGCUCGUAUGGCUUCACGAUGUUACUACAUCACAAACAGAGGUAAAGCAGAAUGCAUUUGGCUCACCAUGCUCCCUGCUACCACAUCUCCCCAGCCAUCAUCCCUAACCCAGCACCAACUGCCAUGGGAAAUGUCUGGAGGCACAGCAGCCAUGCUUUUAAGAGAUACCAUCUACUCAUUUCAGUGCUGCUAAAGCUAAACACAUUUAUAGAUUUGUUCAUAAUUAUUUUUAGAGCGGAAUUCUGUUUGUUUAACAGCAUCUGAAAAAUGAAGUACCUGGGGCAACGUUGCUGCAUGCAGCUGGUUCUACCCUCUCCAUCAGUCCGAGCAGGCUGUAAGCUGCCCAAUGCCCCUUUACAUUACCAGAGCACACACACCUGUGUGGGACUGCUCAUUGACAGGCCUCUUCCUUGCUCCAGGUAAUGCUCCCUACAGCCAGGUAAGCAAACAGAGGAAUGAGGCAGCACCAGGAAUCUACAAGUGAAGCCCCUUUAAAGGGAUUUUGAGCCAGAGGCAUCCAAAGUCAGCCAUGGAGACACCAGAGCAGAGCAACUACAUUGCUCUCCCUGCAGCCACAGCCAGCACCCAUGGGUGAAGCAGCCUGGGGUGUUGCUGCUGAGCAUGGCUUUGCAUCAUGCUGCCAGCUGAGAUGCGUUGUCAGGACAGAUAGCGAGGCCCCUGUGUCCUUCCCACCCAUUCUGCACUUUCUGUGACCUCUUCCUUUCAUCAGUAAAAGUAAAUUGAAUGCAGUACCUUUAAAGACUCUGUCUGGAUCCAAAACAUUCAUAGCCACGCUGUAACCAUGAAUGAAAAGUUAAGAGAGUAUGGUUUGUACCUAAGGGCUCUUUUGCUUUUUAUAUGUUUACAUCUACCAGCCAAUGGUCAGCAAAUAAGCGCCACAGCUUGUAAUGAAAUGGUUGAACCAUCUGUUUUAAUCUGCGAUUUAAUUUCACUGUGAAGUAUUAAAGUUGUUCCGACAGUUGGGUUGGCAUGGCUGCUUCAUAUGAAAAGUGUUGAGUAUCCCAGUUAUUCUGCACCAAGCACGUGCUGUGGAUAUUACGUGCUGCAUUGUUAUUUUCUUCCUUUACAAACAUUACAAAGGGCUCCUUAAUGCAGCACGACUGAGUUUUGGGUCCCUCUUUUUGGUUAGCAAC
ensembl:lncRNA